GGUUAGUCCGCAACGAGCGCAACCCCUACGUUUACGUUGCUAACGCGUGAAGGCGAGCACUCUAGACGAACUGCCGUUGACAAAACGGAGGAAGGUGGGGAUGACGUCAAAUCAUCAUGCCCCUUAUGUUCUGGGCUACACACGUGCUACAAUGGCCGGUACAGACGGACGCAAAGCCGCGAGGUGGAGCAAAUCCUAGAAAGCCGGUCUCAGUUCGGAUUGCAGGCUGCAAUUCGCCUGCAUGAAGUCGGAAUCGCUAGUAAUCGCAGGUCAGCAUACUGCGGUGAAUACGUUCCCGGGCCUU
rnacentral:rRNA from 1 species